rnacentral:lncRNA from 1 species
GUUGAGAAUCUUGUCAUGCAAUAAGGUGUUUGCCACGUAUUAUUCCAAAUGCAAAUAGCUAAACAAGAUCAGAAGAAUUUGAAAAAUUUGCCAAAACCCCAGUCUCAUACCAGAUUCGCUACAUGGGCAAGAAGAUAUGUGAUACUUACAUUAAUUCCUACAAGAAUCUGAAAGUGAAGCUCCACUGGCAGGAGAGCAGAGCGGAGCGGCAGAGGAGGAGAGAAGAGAAGCAGCUGGAGAAAAGCAGCUUGACUUCAGAGGGAUGGCUUGAUGGCAGGACUUCAGAGAAGAGUUUGGCCAGGCAUGGCCAAACUCCAGGGGAAGAUUAUCUGCUCACUCCAUCCCUCUCCAGCUCCCCUUCCCACUGAGAGCCACUUCCAUCUCUCAAUAAAAUUAUCCGCAUACACCACCCU